rnacentral:sRNA from 3 species
UGUAUCUGAAGCCUGACGAGGAUGAGAACCUCCGGGGGCAAGAGGUUCGACCCGAGCGAAGCGAGAGAACGUUGCGUCAGCAACGGCCCGCAGGGCGAGCCACGCAGUGGCGAGUCAUCCUCUAUCACCGAACA